CUAUGGUUGCAUUGCAGAAGCACUGCAAAAUCAUUAAACAUGCAAUGCAACUACAAUGCACCACAG
rnacentral:pre_miRNA from 1 species